AUGGCAGUACGAGACGGUGUCAUCUUCGCCAAGCUGAGGGGCUUUACGAGCGUCGUCCUCGAGACGGAUUGUUUGGAGGUUGUAAACCUCUGGACCAAUCGCCACGACUCGCGCGCAGUUGUGGCACCAAUCUUAAUAGAAAUUGGAGAGCUAGCUAGCACUUUUAUCUCUUUUGUAAUUGAACAUGUAUCCAGGUCAGCGAACGGUCCUGCUCACCUUUGUGCCAAGCACGCUUGCACAAUUGACGUGACUGAGAGUUGGCUGGACAGUACCCCUAGCUUCCUGAUCAGCAAUAUGUUGGCUGACUGUGAUGUGAACGCUUUUAUCUAA
rnacentral:rRNA from 1 species